UGGAAGAUGCUUCAUCAAUCUCUCUCCUCUCUCUCUCUCUCUCUCUCUCUCUCUCUCUCUCUAGAGCGACAUGCUCCUCUUCUUUCUCCGCUUCCGGUGACCUUCUCGCCGUGAUUUCUCGCCGGAACUCGAGUCCGGUCGAAGUCGGAUAGAUCCUCGCCAUUUCGGAGCAGUUCCCCCCGCGGCGCCUCCAAGUUUGCUGCAGAAACAACCAUGGCUAAUGACGAAGCUGCAGUUCCAAAAUUUGGUGAAUGGAACGAUAGGGACGCGACAGCACCGGACAACUACACAGCUAUUUUCAACAGGGUGCGGGAGGGGAGACAGGAGGCAGCUAGAGCACCGACACUGCCGCGGUUGAACGUUAACAGCACACAGAACCAAGAUCAUGAACACAACCAAAAGAAAUGCUGUUGCUUCCCAUGGCCAAGAAAAUGAUGAUGUUCUCUGCUUUUUCAAGUUUUUAAAGUACAUGGAGAUAUGAAUAUAUAUUAUUUGAAGGCUCUGACUGCAGUACAUGUCCUUGUGUGCCAUCUGAUGAGAGUCCCUGCCUGUGGCCAAAUAAAUUUGUCAGCAAAGAUGAAUUCAUUGAGUGUUUGGUCACAUUGAUAUUUAUGGUGUAUUUGUUAAUGUAGCUACCACUUGCAUGAGACAUUACAAUAAAUUGUUUUAGCAGUGCAUCUAGAUUACUUUCAAUACGAAUAUUAGUUUUUACAUUUCUUGCGUUGUUCCAUUGAUACGAAAUGAUGGAGUAGAGGGAUGAACACUGGUUGAGUUCUUAAUGGAUGUCUCGACUAAUCUUUCGUGCAA